UACAGAGGGUGCGAGCGUUGUUCGGAAUUAUUGGGCGUAAAGGGCGCGUAGGCGGCGCCACAAGUCACUUGUGAAAACUCUGGGCUCAACUCAGAGCCUGCAAGCGAAACUGUGGUGCUGGAGUAUGGGAGAGGUGCGUGGAAUUCCCGGUGUAGCGGUGAAAUGCGCAGAUAUCGGGAGGAACACCAAUUGCGAAGGCAGCUCGCUGGGACGUUACUGACGCUGAGACGCGAAAGCGUGGGGAGCAAACAGG
rnacentral:rRNA from 1 species